CACAACUGGAAAUUCCAUCGAAUGAUCAUGACUAACACAUUUUUGACCAACUCUCUGCUCUGUACAUUCUUCUGGAUGCCCCAGUUACCGUUUGCACAAAACUAGACAAAGUGAUUCAGAAAAAGCUGUUGUAGAACUUCUCAAAGAGACCAAAUCAAAAGGAGAUCUGUUCAGGUGUUAGCAGAGUUGGAAGGAAAGCUGCUCCUGGGCUCAUGGGGUGUCUCCAGCUUGGUCCAGUCACCUGGGAGAGAUAUGGCAGAUUGAAGACUGUCACGAAUUCUCUAUUCUUCCUCAUUCUGAGAGGUGGAGUCUAAUUUUCUUCUUCUUGAACCUGUCUGGCUCUAGCAAC
rnacentral:lncRNA from 10 species